GUGCAGACUCAUCUCUGACACUGCAGCAAUAGGUUGGAUGUGGGAGCAGAGUGUUUUGCAGAGCUCCUGGUAGGAGUUGCUCUCUGGAGCCACAGCUCUGCAUUAUUUGCCCUCUGGAGAUGCAUAUUUAUUUGGAUUAACUUCACAGGGAGCCUAGACAGUGCUAGCUGGGUCUUGGCUAGCUGACUGCUGGAUGUGUAAAACGAGGUGGCAUAAAUUUGCCCUCACAGCUAUAAGUAGUGAGGUGAGAGUUAAACUCACCAUGGGGAAAGACAGAGAUGGGAACGCAUGCCCAAAACCAGGCUGGGAUUUGAGUGUGGUGAGCACCUCUCUCUGUAGUGUUGGUAACCCUAAACGCAGCGGUUGCUUUGGUUUACUGUUGGGUUGUCACAGUGAUGAUCUCUGUGGCAUCAUGCAGGGCACUGCCUGCUCUGCACGCUAUGAGGAGUUGGACUCCGUGCACACAACCAGGGGUUGCAUCCAGGAUGGAGUUGGGGUUAAAAUGAUGCUGUUCUGUGUUGUCUGAGGUAGCAGAGAAAAUGCAGUGAGUGCACGGCCUGCUUGCUGGAGCAAAGUGCUGCAAGGCACAGGCAGAUGGCUGGUGCUGGGUACGGUGCACAGAGCUCCCAGUCAGAAUCAGAGCUCUGAGGUCUGUUUUGAACUUUGUUAAUACAAAACUCCCUCACUUCCCUGCUUUCUUAACUGCUAUGACAAACCAAACUAACCAACCCCACUGAAGCCCUAACGCUCCUUUUGCAGCUGCUUCAGACCUCUGCCAUCUCCCAUUGUUUCUGUUCUGGUGAUUUGGUCUGUGGACUGCAACGAGCUUCCAGUGAUGCUGUUGUGGCUGUUGUUUUUAAAGAAGGAAUGCCCAAAGGGUUCCAGUCUGAAAAGGGCUCACAUUUGCACUGUGAUCAGUAGAAGGUCGGGGUGUUCCUCGUUCUCCCUUGGCCCCAAGUAUGAGGUGAGCUGCUUUUUGCAGGAGCUGACUGGCAUCACACCCAGAUGCCUUUGGUUCCCACUUAAGUUGCCUUAUUGCUAAUUCAGAAAGAAGAAUUGGAGUGGUGGUGCUGGUCAUGUAUUGGCAGUGCACCAAAUAGCAGAAGAGAUAAAUGGGCAGGGCACUGCAGGUGCAGACUUCUUCUCUUCCUGCCGUUGCCCGUUUUUGUUAUUCUGGAUAAGGCAGAGCACCCCGGCCUUGUCUGGGGUCUGCAGGCACAGCUCUGAUGGAAGAGGUAGCAGGAGGGCUGUUGGAACAGGGACUGUGGUGUUUUAAAGUAGCAGCUGAGAACAAAUGUUUGCUGUUGGGCUUCGUGGGAGAAGGGGCACAGGCAGAUACAGCUCCCACAGUGCUUCUGUUAGCUGGCUUCUGUUGUGAAUGCUGAAACCUCAGGCUUCCUGCACUGACUGCGGAUUUUCACUUCACUGGGGUAUUUGCAAUGCUUGGUUGUCAUACUGUAAUACUUGAAUAAACCUUUUUUCUGUCUCUGGGUGAGCACUUGCACUUCCCCCUCCUGCUCUGUGUUGUUCUAGUCUUUCAGCUGACUUUUGUCUCCUGAGCUUCAGGGAGUGAUGCACCAAAAGAAGCACUGGUCGCUCCACCAGAGUCCUGUUCAGGAGGGAAAAUACCCGAUCCUUGAAGAUGCCUGGUGCACAGAUGGGUCCAGCAAGGGCAACCCGAGCAAGUGGAGAGCAAUAGCAUACCAUCCUUCCAGCGAGACGAUGCGGUUCAACGAGGGGGAUGGUCAGAGCAGGCAAUGGGCAGAACUGCGAGCCGUGUGGAUGGUUAUGAGCAAGGGAGCCGGUGAUGGCAUCCUGAACAUCUGCUCAGAUGGUUGGGCUGUGUUCCAGGAAUGGACUGUCCACCCCCCGAUCUGGGGCAAGGAUGUGGUUGGAGAUACGGAAUGCAGUCAGACACAGGACUGCAAGUGCUACCGAGCUGCUGGUCAUCAGCCCAGUGGCGUGGCCUGCUUGCACACUUGACACUCGCCCCGUGUAUCUGCUCAUUCCUAGAUGAAUCCAAGUGGUUUCGACCCAGGCCCAGUGGUGGUGCACUGAGUGCUUCCUUCAGUGACGAGCUCUCAGGAAGCACGAAUCGCUGCAGGUCUGAUGGCUGCCUUCCACAGGACAACAGUGAUGGGGAUAAGGAGCUGAUCCACCCUCCGGCCCUCAUUUCUCCUGGCUCUGCUGAAGAUGCUGACCGGAGCCCAGCAGCCAUCGCAGUCCCCAGCCUGGAUUGUGACCCAGUGUCUUUGCAGUGCAGCCCAGCCAAGUGGAGUCCGAGUGCCUGGCCAGCAGCAGCUCCACGAGGAGCAGCAGCCCGCUGAUCAUCGGGGGCUCAGUUUGCCACCAGGGAGUGUCAGUGGUCACUGAAGGCUUUGUUGGCUGUCAGAGGGCUGCACUGAUCAUCAGAGAUCUUCACUGAGCCCCCCUGAAGUUACCAAAGGCCAAAAGAAGAAUAAGGCAGCAGAAGCUUAUGCUCACACUGCAUACAAAUGCUACAGGAGCAGAAACAAACCGGGAAGCUCUGGGUUCCUCCAGGGAAGGCAAAACUGCACAGAGACGCCCCGGCUGUGUUUGUGAGUGCUCUUUGUGCUCCUCGUGUGAUCCCACUGCUGAGCCAGGAUGGAGCUGCCCAGUGCCGCAGAGCACCAUCCAGAGCAGGGCUGGGACCUCCUCCCCUUCCUGUCCUGCAGCUCGGCGUGCAGCCUCACCUCCUCCUGUGGCAGAGCUGCUGAUCCCACGAAUGCCAUCUGGAUGCUCCUCUAACCCCGAGCUCCUGCCCACCCUGCCAAGAAAAAGCAAACCAACCCCCCACAGCAGGGAAUGCACACAGCUUCACGCCGCUCCCCUUCACCCUGUCCUACCUCAGAGACCAAAGGAGCACUGAUCUGGAAAUUAGCACAAAACACAGCAGCAUCACUUGAAAAUGCAAGUUGUGUUUUCGUUGUCAUGGGUAUUACAGCCCAAAGGUUGUAAUAAAGUUCAUGCAAAGGAGGGUAAAUUACAGAUAUUCCAUACACAAAAGCAAAGAGGAACGGUGUGAGGGUGUUUCCCAAUGAGAAGGGACACAUGCAGAGACCCCAGAGGGAAGACGAGGCAAACAGUAACUGCUACACAACCAAUGGUGCAGAGAGAGAAUUCACUGCCAGGAGCAGCUCACAGUCCAGUGAGAAAGAUUCACAGCACUGGCUGCAGGGUUGUUGUUUAAUUAAAAACAAUAUAUAAAAACAA